CGAACGCUGGCGGCGUGCUUAACACAUGCAAGUCGAACGUGAUUUUUGUGGAAAUUCUUUCGGGAAUGGAAAUGAAAUGAAAGUGGCGAACGGGUGAGUAACACGUGAGCAACCUACCUUACACAGGGGGAUAGCCGUUGGAAACGACGAUUAAUACCGCAUGAGACCACAGAAUCGCAUGAUAUAGGGGUAAAAGAUUUAUCGGUGUAAGAAGGGCUCGCGUCUGAUUAGCUAGUUGGAAGGGUAAAGGCCUACCAAGGCGACGAUCAGUAGCCGGUCUGAGAGGAUGAACGGCCACAUUGGAACUGAGACACGGUCCAAACUCCUACGGGAGGCAGCAGUGGGGAAUAUUGCACAAUGGGGGGAACCCUGAUGCAGCGACGCCGCGUGAGCGAAGAAGGUUUUCGAAUCGUAAAGC
rnacentral:rRNA from 1 species